rnacentral:rRNA from 1 species
UACGUAGGGUGCAAGCGUUAAUCGGAAUUACUGGGCGUAAAGCGUGCGCAGGCGGUGAUGUAAGACAGGUGUGAAAUCCCCGGGCUUAACCUGGGAACUGCAUUUGUGACUGCAUCGCUGGAGUGCGGCAGAGGGGGAUGGAAUUCCGCGUGUAGCAGUGAAAUGCGUAGAUAUGCGGAGGAACACCGAUGGCGAAGGCAAUCCCCUGGGCCUGUACUGACGCUCCAUGCACGAAAGCGUGGGGAGCAAACAGG